rnacentral:rRNA from 1 species
UACGUAGGGGGCGAGCGUUGUCCGGAAUCAUUGGGCGUAAAGCGCGUGUAGGCGGCCCGGUAAGUCCGCUGUGAAAGUCCAGGGCUCAACCCUGGGAUGCCGGUGGAUACUGUCGGGCUCGAGUCCGGAAGAGGCGAGUGGAAUUCCUGGUGUAGCGGUGAAAUGCGCAGAUAUCAGGAGGAACACCAAUGGCGAAGGCAGCUCGCUGGGACGUGACUGACGCUGAGACGCGAAAGCGUGGGGAGCGAACAGG